CCUACGGGCGGCAGCAGUGGGGAAUAUUGCACAAUGGGAGAAACCCGGAUGCAGCGACGCCGCGUGAAGGAAGAAGUAUCUCGGUGCGUAAAGCUCUAUCAGCAGGGAAGAAAAUGACGGUACCUGACUAAGAAGCCCCGGCUAACUGCGAGCCAGCAGCCGCGGUAAUACGGAGGGGGCAAGCGUUAUCCGGAUUUACUGGGUGUAAAGGGAGCGUAGGCGGCAGCACAAGUCUGCAGUGAAAUCCCGGGGCUUAACUCCGGAACUGCUUUUGAAACUGUGCGGCUGGAGUGCAGGAGGGGUAAGCGGAAUGCGUAGUGUAGCGGUGAAAUGCGUAGAUAUUAGGAGGAACACCGGUGGCGAAGGCGGCUUACUGGACCGUAACUGACGUUGAGGCUCGAAAGCGUGGGGAGCAAACAGGAUUAGAUACCCCUGUAGUC
rnacentral:rRNA from 1 species